rnacentral:rRNA from 1 species
CGCCAGACUCCUAACGGGAGGCAGCAGUGGGGGAUAUUGCACAAUGGGGGAAACCCUGAUGCAGCAACGCCGCGUGAGUGGAGAAGUAUUUCGGUAUGUAAAGCUCUAUCAGCAGGGAAGAGAAUGACGGUACCUGACUAAGAAGCCCCGGCUAACUACGUGCCAGCAGCCGCGGUAAUACGUAGGGGGCGAGCGUUAUCCGGAUUUACUGGGUGUAAAGGGAGCGUAGACGGCUGGUCAAGUCUGAAGUGAAAGCCCGGGGCUUAACCCCGGAACGGCUUUGGAAACUGAGCAGCUAGAGUGCUGGAGAGGUAAGCGGAAUUCCUAGUGUAGCGGUGAAAUGCGUAGAUAUUAGGAGGAACACCAGUGGCGAAGGCGGCUUACUGGACAGUAACUGACGUUGAGGCUCGAAAGCGUGGGGAGCAAACAGGAUUAGAUACCCGAGUA